rnacentral:rRNA from 1 species
CCUACGGGUGGCAGCAGUGGGGAAUAUUGCACAAUGGGCGAAAGCCUGAUGCAGCAACGCCGCGUGAGCGAUGAAGGCCUUUGGGUCGUAAAGCUCUGUCCUUGGGGAAGAAAAAAAUGACGGUACCCUUGGAGGAAGCACCGGCUAACUACGUGCCAGCAGCCGCGGUAAUACGUAGGGGGCAAGCGUUAUCCGGAAUUAUUGGGCGUAAAGAGUGCGUAGGUGGUUUUAUAAGCGCGGGGUGAAAGGCAAUGGCUCAACCAUUGUAAGCCCUGCGAACUGUAAGACUUGAGUGCAGGAGAGGAAAGUGGAAUUCCUAGUGUAGCGGUGAAAUGCGUAGAUAUUAGGAGGAACACCAGUGGCGAAGGCGACUUUCUGGACUGUAACUGACACUGAGGCACGAAAGCGUGGGGAGCAAACAGGAUUAGAUACCCCAGUAGUC